rnacentral:rRNA from 1 species
GGAGCUUGCUUUAUAUAACUUAGCAGCGAACGGGUGAGUAACACGUAGAUAAUCUAUCCUAUACUGGGGGAUAGCCCGAUGAAAGUUGGAUUAAUACCGCAUAUAGCUAUAUAGUUGCAUGAUUAUGUAGUGAAAGAUUUAUUGGUAUAGGAGGAGUCUGCGGCACAUUAGCUAGUAGGUGAGGUAAAGGCUUACCUAGGCGACGAUGUGUAGCCGGUCUGAGAGGAUGAACGGCCACAAUGGAACUGAGACACGGUCCAUACUCCUACGGGAGGCAGCAGUGGGGAAUAUUGCACAAUGGGGGAAACCCUGAUGCAGCAACGCCGCGUGAGUGAAGAAGGUUUUCGGAUUGUAAAGCUCUGUUAGCAGGGAAGAGGAAGGACGGUACCUGCAGAGGAAGCCACGGCUAACUACGUGCCAGCAGCCGCGGUAAUACGUAGGUGGCAAGCGUUGUUCGGAAUAACUGGGCGUAAAGGAUGCGUAGGCGGUUAAACAAGUUAUAUGUUAAAUAUAUAGGCUUAACCUGUAGAAAGCAUAUAAAACUGUUUAACUAGAGUGCAGGAGAGGUAAGUGGAACUCCUAGUGUAGCGGUGAAAUGCGUAGAGAUUAGGAAGAACACCAGUGGCGAAGGCGACUUACUGGACUGUAACUGACGCUGAGGCAUGAGAGCAUGGGGAGCAAACAGGAUUAGAUACCCUGGUAGUCCAUGCUGUAAACGAUGGGUACUAGGUG